rnacentral:misc_RNA from 1 species
GCUGCUUAGAGUAAUAUAUAUAUACUGUUCAGAGAUAACAUUAUUCAGCUAGAACUCAAAUAAUUUCUGAUCAAAUCAUUUUUACUAUGCCUCAAAUAUUCUAAUUAUACAAUAAAUCAGGGAAGUACAUGCAUUGCUUACUAUGGAGCAGUGGUAACAUUUCAAAUCUAGACAUCAAACAGCAAUCAAAGUGGAAAUGAAAGCGUUCUUUGUUACUCAUAUGAUUUUGAAGUAGGGGAAGUAUUGUUGCAAUUGCACGAUUCCCAUGGCGAACUAUCAAUUUCAUCAUAAUUCAAUUGAUGCAUCUUGGAAUGCUAAAUAUACCAUUUUCAACGGUUGUAGUCUCGAGCACGGAAAUCAUUAUCUGCUUUCCCAAUUGGGGACAUUGGGAGAGCUACAUCAUUUAUUGCACCAGCUCCAGUCUCCAUGCCUAUUAGAGGAUCAGAUUCAUCUUCUUUGGUCUGAAGUUGUACUGAUGCUUCUGUAGCUUUUUUCUGACCUUCACGAGUGCAAUAAUAUGAAUAAAGAACCAUUCCCAGCAUAGCAACAAAGAUCCCAAGAAUAUUCCUCCAGUUGAAUGGGUCAUGAAGCAAGAUAUAUCCAAAAGCUAAUACUAGACAAGUUUUAAGAUGGCCAAGGACUUGGUAGGUGACAGGGGAUGUUUUUCCAAUCACAAGGAAUGUGCUAAAGUUAACAGAGACUGAGAUCAAGCAGGACAUAGCAAUGAAAGUCAGCACUUGUGGCGUAUAUCUGAAGGCAAAUACAUUUUGCUGAGUCAAAAACUUAUCCAGAAACGGACCAGAGACGAACAAAGUCAUGGCUUGAUAAGGACAAGAUUGAUACAACAGUUGUGUUGAAGAAACCUUGAACUUCUUCUGGAUGGUAUUGGUCAUAAUUUGAGCAACACAAGUGGUAAGAACUGCAAGGAGUGACAAGAUAGAACCCAGGAAGUUCAGCUGUAAAUCAGUUACAGUUGCAAUUCCAACACCCAAAAGAAGGACGCAAAGAGAGAGUUGAAUGCUCCGACUGAAUUUCUUGCUGAGGAAAAUUGUCUCUAAAAAUACAGUGCAUGGUAUGAUUGCAAGCUUCGUCAUCUGAUAAAAACCAACAGAAUUGAAACCAAGGCUAAGGUUUAGCAACCCAAUUGAUAUUCCAUUCAGAAUACCAAAUCCAACAACAGUUCUUGGAUCAAAAGGUUUGUGUUCAAAUAGCUUCAUCCAUAGCGCCACAUGGAGGGAGCAAAAAGUGACCAGUAGAUGCCAGCUCGUCAAAGUUGUAGCAAAACGAAAACCUAAAGAGCUCAUAAGCGCUUUAUUGCAUAUCACAAUAGAUACUGACGAAACAACAGAUAGAGACAAAGCUCCAAUGGUGCCAAGCUGAAAGCGCUUGUUCUCACUCAUCCUUUCAGCUACAGCUCCUUGCUCCGCUAAUUUAUAUCUGAAAGAAAUACUUCCCAAAAACCAGCAACAAAUUUGAUCCAACACCACAAAUUCUUCACGCUACCAUUUCCAAAAUUCCAUAUAAUUACAGAUCCAAUCAAGUUAACAAGCCUGUAUAUGUGUAUUUUGUAUGGAUUUGAGAAAUUUUUCGACUUAAAUUUUAGGGCAAAAGGUUGUGCAGUCAGUUCCAAGUUCCAACUACAGCGAGUGUAUACAGAGAGUUUGAUAAUUUUGUAUCCUGGAAAUGUGAGUAAAUUAUAUGUAUGCAAAUCUCAGUCAAAAUCUGAGAAGGGGGGAGG